GACGAACGCUGGCGGCGUGCUUAACACAUGCAAGUCGAACGAUGAAGCCUAGCUUGCUGGGUGGAUUAGUGGCGAACGGGUGAGUAAUACGUGAGUAACCUACCUUUAACUCUGGGAUAAGCCCGGGCAACUGGGUCUAAUACCGGAUACGACCAAUCUCCGCCUGGGGUGUUGGUGGAAAGCGUUAUGUAGUGGUUAUAGAUGGGCUCACGGCCUAUCAGCUUGUUGGUGAGGUAACGGCUCACCAAGGCGACGACGGGUAGCCGGCCUGGGAGGGUGACCGGCCACACUGGGACUGAGACACGGCCCAGACUCCUACGGGAGGCAGCAGUGGGGAAUAUUGCACAAUGGGCGCAAGCCUGAUGCAGCGACGCCGCGUGAGGGAUGACGGCCUUCGGGUUGUAAACCUCUGUUAGCAGGGAAGAAGAGAGAUUGACGGUACCUGCAGAGAAAGCGCCGGCUAACUACGUG
rnacentral:rRNA from 1 species